rnacentral:rRNA from 1 species
AUUGAACGCUGGCGGCAGGCUUAACACAUGCAAGUCGAGCGAGCGGCGGACGGGUGAGUAAUGUCUGGGAAACUGCCUGAUGGAGGGGGAUAACUCCUGGAAACGGUAGCUAAUACCGCAUACCAUCAGAUGGGCACAGAUGGGCUUAGCUAGGAGGUGGGGUAAGGGCUCACCUAGGCGACGAUCCCUAGCUGGUCUGAGCGGAUGACCAGCCACAGUGGAACUGAGACACGGUCCAGACUCCUACGGGAGGCCGCAGGGGGGAAUAUUGCACUAUGGGCGCAAGCCUGAUGCAGCCAUGCCGCGUGUGUGAAGAAGGCCUUCGGGUUGUAAAGCACUUUCAGCGAGGAGGCGUUACUCGCAGAAGAAGCACCGGCUAACUCCGUGCCAGCAGCCGCGGUAAUUC